rnacentral:rRNA from 1 species
UACGGAGGAUGCAAGCGUUAUCCGGAAUGAUUGGGCGUAAAGGGUCCGCAGGUGGCAAUGUAAGUCUGCUGUCAAAGAAUGAGGCUCAACCUCAUCAAGGCAGUGGAAACUACGUAGCUAGAGUACGGUCGGGGUAGAAGGAAUUCCUGGUGUAGCGGUGAAGUGCGUAGAGAUCAGGAAGAACACCGGUGGCGAAAGCGUUCUGCUAGGCCUGUACUGACACUGAGGGACGAAAGCUAGGGGAGCGAAUGGG